AGCGUGGGCAAUAAUGUAGGGUUCAUAACCCUGAGGUCACGGGUUCGAGUCCCGUCUCCGCUA
rnacentral:tRNA from 1 species